rnacentral:rRNA from 1 species
UUGAACGCUGGCGGCAGGCCUAACACAUGCAAGUCGAACGGUAACAGAAAGCAGCUUGCUGCUUUGCUGACGAGUGGCGGACGGGUGAGUAAUGUCUGGGAAACUGCCCGAUGGAGGGGGAUAACUACUGGAAACGGUAGCUAAUACCGCAUAACGUCGCAAGACCAAAGAGGGGGACCUUAGGGCCUCUUGCCAUCGGAUGUGCCCAGAUGGGAUUAGCUAGUAGGUGGGGUAAAGGCUCACCUAGGCGACGAUCCCUAGCUGGUCUGAGAGGAUGACCAGCCACACUGGAACUGAGACACGGUCCAGACUCCUACGGGAGGCAGCAGUGGGGAAUAUUGCACAAUGGGCGCAAGCCUGAUGCAGCCAUGCCGCGUGUAUGAAGAAGGCCUUCGGGUUGUAAAGUACUUUCAGCGGGGAGGAAGGGAGUAAAGUUAAUACCUUUGCUCAUUGACGUUACCCGCAGAAGAAGCACCGGCUAACUCCGUGCCAGCAGCCGCGGUAAUACGGAGGGUGCAAGCGUUAAUCGGAAUUACUGGGCGUAAAGCGCACGCAGGCGGUUUGUUAAGUCAGAUGAGAAAUCCCCGGGCUCAACCUGGGAACUGCAUCUGAUACUGGCAAGCUUGAGUCUCGUAGAGGGGGGUAGAAUUCCAGGUGUAGCGGUGAAAUGCGUAGAGAUCUGGAGGAAUACCGGUGGCGAAGGCGGCCCCCUGGACGAAGACUGACGCUCAGGUGCGAAAGCGUGGGGAGCAAACAGGAUUAGAUACCCUGGUAGUCCACGCCGUAAACGAUGUCGACUUGGAGGUUGUGCCCUUGAGGCGUGGCUUCCGGAGCUAACGCGUUAAGUCGACCGCCUGGGGAGUACGGCCGCAAGGUUAAAACUCAAAUGAAUUGACGGGGGCCCGCACAAGCGGUGGAGCAUGUGGUUUAAUUCGAUGCAACGCGAAGAACCUUACCUGGUCUUGACAUCCACGGAAGUUUUCAGAGAUGAGAAUGUGCCUUCGGGAACCGUGAGACAGGUGCUGCAUGGCUGUCGUCAGCUCGUGUUGUGAAAUGUUGGGUUAAGUCCCGCAACGAGCGCAACCCUUAUCCUUUGUUGCCAGCGGUCCGGCCGGGAACUCAAAGGAGACUGCCAGUGAUAAACUGGAGGAAGGUGGGGAUGACGUCAAGUCAUCAUGGCCCUUACGACCAGGGCUACACACGUGCUACAAUGGCGCAUACAAAGAGAAGCGACCUCGCGAGAGCAAGCGGACCUCAUAAAGUGCGUCGUAGUCCGGAUUGGAGUCUGCAACUCGACUCCAUGAAGUCGGAAUCGCUAGUAAUCGUGGAUCAGAAUGCCACGGUGAAUACGUUCCCGGGCCUUGUACACACCGCCCGUCACACCAUGGGAGUGGGUUGCAAAAGAAGUAGGUAGCUUAACCUUCGGGAGGGCGCUUACCACUUUGUGAUUCAUGACUGGGGUG